UACGAAGGGGGCUAGCGUUGUUCGGAAUCACUGGGCGUAAAGCGCACGCAGGCGGAUUGAUAAGUCAGGGGUGAAAUCCCGGAGCUCAACUUCGGAAUUGCCUUUGAUACUGUCUAUCUUCGAGUUCGGGAGAGGUUGGCGGAAUUCCACGUGUAGCGGUGAAAUGCGUAGAGAUGUGGAGGAACACCAGUGGCGAAGGCGGCUUUUUGGUCUGUAACUGACGCUGAGGCGCGAAAGCGUGGUAGCAAACAGG
rnacentral:rRNA from 1 species